ACGAACGCUGGCGGCGUGCUUAACACAUGCAAGUCGAACGGUAAGGCCCCAGCUUGCUGGGGUACACGAGUGGCGAACGGGUGAGUAACACGUGGGUGACCUGCCCCGCACUUCGGGAUAAGCCUGGGAAACUGGGUCUAAUACCGGAUAGGACCGCAACGUGAGGGUGUGGUGGAAAGUUUUUCGGUGUGGGAUGGGCCCGCGGCCUAUCAGCUUGUUGGUGGGGUAAUGGCCUACCAAGGCGGCGACGGGUAGCCGGCCUGAGAGGGUGGACGGCCACAUUGGGACUGAGACACGGCCCAGACUCCUACGGGAGGCAGCAGUGGGGAAUAUUGCACAAUGGGCGGAAGCCUGAUGCAGCGACGCCGCGUGGGGGAUGACGGCCUUCGGGUUGUAAACUCCUUUCACCAUCGACGAAGGUUUUCUGACGGUAGAUGGAGAAGAAGCACCGGCUAACUACGUG
rnacentral:rRNA from 1 species